rnacentral:ncRNA from 2 species
CAAUCCCUGCGUGACUGGCGAUAGGGUUCCCGAAUGGCAACGGCUGUAAUAAUUGCCCUUCAAGCUGCUUGUGCUGGACGCAGCGUCUGGUGCAGCGCGGCUCAAACGGGGGCUCAAGGUGGAACGACCCACCGUGAAGCGCAGGGUGCCGUUUUGCCGUUCGCCUGGGCAGCCAGA